rnacentral:lncRNA from 1 species
UUAGGUAGGGCGUAUUUGGGGUGCUAAUACCUUCCCUUUACGCAACCAGUCCCCGUACCCGAUCUUUGAGACCAGUUAGGGUUCCUAGUGACCAAAAUACUAGGUGGCGACUCCCAUUCCAUUUUCCACCCACAAAAGACAAUAUUUUCUUGUAUCCCCAUAGAUAUAGAUAGAUUUACAUUGUAGAUAAGAAAAUGGAACAACGAUAUAUUUUU